GCUGGGCACGGUGGCACAUGCCUGUAAUCCAAGCGACUUGGGAGGGUGAGGCAGGAGGAUUGCAAGUUUGAGGCCAGGCUUAACAACAUAACAAUACCCUGUUUCAA
rnacentral:sRNA from 1 species